rnacentral:pre_miRNA from 2 species
UGAGGUAGGAGGUUGUAUAGUUGAGGAAGACACCCGAGGAGAUCACUAUACGGCCUCCUAGCUUUCC